UACAGAGGGUGCGAGCGUUAAUCGGAUUUACUGGGCGUAAAGCGUGCGUAGGCGGCUUUUUAAGUCGGAUGUGAAAUCCCCGAGCUUAACUUGGGAAUUGCAUACGAUACUGGGAAGCUAGAGUACGGUAGAGGAUGGUAGAAUUCCAGGUGUAGCGGUGAAAUGCGUAGAGAUCUGGAGGAAUACCGAUGGCGAAGGCAGCCAUCUGGCCUAAUACUGACGCUGAGGGAUGAAAGCUGGGGGAGCAAACCGG
rnacentral:misc_RNA from 1 species